AUCAUUCACAAUGGGGGAAACCCUGAUGCAGCAACGCCGCGUGAAGGAAGACGGUUUUCGGAUUGUAAACUUCUAUCAAUAGGGAAGAAACAAAUGACGGUACCUGAGGAAUAAGCCACGGCUAACUACGUGCCAGCAGCCGCGGUAAUACGUAGGUGGCGAGCGUUAUCCGGAUUUACUGGGUGUAAAGGGCGUGUAGGCGGGAUUGCAAGUCAGACGUGAAAACUAUGGGCUCAACCCAUAGCCUGCGUUUGAAACUGUAGUUCUUGAGUGCUGGAGAGGCAAUCGGAAUUCCGUGUGUAGCGGUGAAAUGCGUAGAUAUACGGAGGAACACCAGUGGCGAAGGCGGAUUGCUGGACAGUAACUGACGCUGAGGCGCGAAAGCGUGGGGAGCAAACA
rnacentral:rRNA from 1 species